CCUUAGAUGUUCUGGGCCGCACGCGCGCUACACUGACAGAGCCAACGAGUAUAAACCUUGACCGAGAGGUUUGGGUAAUCUUGUUAAACUCUGUCGUGCUGGGGAUAGAGCAUUGCAAUUAUUGCUCUUCAACGAGGAAUAUCUAGUAAGCGCAAGUCAUCAGCUUGCGUUGAUUACGUCCCUGCCCUUUGUACACACCGCCCGUCGCUACUACCGAUUGAAUGGCUCAGUGAGGCCUUCGGACUGGCUCAGGGAGGUCGGCAACGACCACCCAGAGCCGGAAAGUUGGUCAAACUUGGUCAUUUAGAGGAAGUAAAAGUCGUAACAAGGUUUCCGUAGGUGAACCUGCGGAAGGAUCAUUACCAAAUGUCCUUUGACACGCUUUGCGCCCGGCUCCGGUCGGGCCAGAGUUCAAACCUCCUGUGAACAAAAACACUAUCAGCUUCGGCAGCAGGUCGGUCAGGCAUCGCCUUUCCGCGCCGUCAGCCUGCCGGCAGCGCCAACAUAAACUUGUUUAUAAAUAAAAGUCUGAAACCAUUCCAGUCGAAUGAAAAUUAAAACUUUCAACAACGGAUCUCUUGGUUCUCGCAUCGAUGAAGAACGCAGCGAAACGCGAUAGUUAAUGUGAAUUGCAGAAUUCAGUGAAUCAUCGAGUCUUUGAACGCACAUUGCGCCCAUUGGUAUUCCGAUGGGCACGUCUGUCUGAGCGUCAUUACAACCCUUCGGCUGGCAUCUUCUUGCCCCUGCCGGUUAUGAGACGGCUCCCAAGAGCCGGCUUUAAAGUGGCACGCUCUGCGGGCCCGAUGACCUGGAAAAACAUAGUAAAAUCAAGCUUGCUUUGAAAGGUCUUGGGUUUUCCGCCUGAACAAACUUCAUUUCUAAGGUUUGACCUCAGAUCAGACGAGGAUACCCGCUGAACUUAAGCAUAUCAAUAAGCGGAGGAAAAGAAACCAACAGGGAUUGCCUCAGUAACGGCGAGUGAAGCGGCAAAAGCUCAAAUUUGAAAUCGGGCUCCUUUGGCGCCCGAGUUGUAAUUUGAAGAGGAUGCCUCGGUUGUGGUUCCGGCAUAAGUUCCUUGGAACAGGACGUCACAGAGGGUGAGAAUCCCGUACGUUGCCGGCUACUUACUUCCAUGUGUGGCUCCCUCGAAGAGUCGAGUUGUUUGGGAAUGCAGCUCAAAAUGGGUGGUAAAUUUCAUCUAAAGCUAAAUACUGGCGAGAGACCGAUAGCGCACAAGUAGAGUGAUCGAAAGAUGAAAAGCACUUUGAAAAGAGAGUUAAACAGUACGUGAAAUUGUUGAAAGGGAAGCGCUUGCAAUCAGACUCACUUACGGUUGAUCAACGUUCCUUCUGGUUCGUGCACUCUGCCGUUUGUGGGCCAGCAUCGGUUGGUGCGGCGGGACAAAGGCUCCGAGAAUGUGGCUCUCUUCGGGGAGUGUUAUAGCUCGGUGCGUAAUGCCGUCAGCUGCCGACCGAGGUCCGCGCUCACGCUAGGAUGCUGGCUUAAUGGUUGUAAGCGAC
rnacentral:rRNA from 1 species